GUAUGGCGCAAUUGGUAGCGCACCGGUCUCCAAAACCGAAGGUUCGAGGUUCGAAACCUCGUGCCCCCGCCAC
rnacentral:tRNA from 2 species